rnacentral:lncRNA from 1 species
GGAUCGAAAGAGUCCACCGGAUGAGAGCGGAAGUGUUGGACAAGGGACGCCGCACGCGGACGCUGCUCAGGGCUCGCAAACACGCGAGUGAACGGAGUGGCUGCUGGUUCACUCACUGCCCGGGAAGGUGGAUCAGUGAAGCUAUACUGACUGGGAGAACGGGGGAGUCGACUCGCCCUUCCACAAACUUAAGUAUCCGGUACCCCAGUCUCCCCUGCCCCGACAAACCUUGGUCUCAACCUAGACCUCCGUUGCCAUUCCUUACAGGAACCAGCUACGAGGCCUUCUGAAAAAUCACCGUGUUUCUUUCCCGAUGAUGAAUGUGUGAGAUCCGCAGGGAUGGAGGUAUCAGCAGAGUGGCGCCACAGCGUGCUAUCCUUCUGACGCCCAUGGCUCUGUGUGAUCUUCAGUCGAGACGGACGGCUCGGUGUCUGUACCUGCAAACACAACCAGCUAGCAGGAGUUUGGAGACACAUCAACGUAAUGCUCAGCAUAAUGUUUCCGACUGAAAAGACUCCGAGGGGUAGAAUUUACUGGAGGAACGAACAUAAACCAUGACCUACCUUUAUUUCCCAAAAGUCUGUUCUUCAAAGACGCCACAAGUGAGUGUCACUGGCUGUAUGGGUACAGCUAAAUAUGCUUGAUUUCUUAAAAUACUUUCUGCUUAUAUCAAAGCAUAUGAGGAUUUUUACACUGUUGCAGUGAAUGUGUGCUGAUAGAUGUCUACCUCUCUUCAUUGGGAAUUUAUGAGCCUGAUGACAUGAAGACUCCCAUCCCCAGUGCAGGUAGUACAAUAUUAAAAUCCUUUUGAUCUGCACUUCUUUGAUAUUCCUUAUUAAGGAUUCACUUUUUAGAUGUAAAUAUGAGGAGUCAAGGGAGCUGUUACAGGGUAACACCCACACGCUCGCUCUGUCACUUUGAAUGCUUUAAAGCCGAUGCCUGGAAGGAAAAAGAGAGAGUGAAAGUAAAAGGAUGCAAACCUGAUGCUUCCAGGGCCGAGUUCUGGUGACCUGUCCAGCGGCAGAAGCCACGUCUGGUGAGUGAUGAUACUGACACGUCCUCACUGAUGUUCUGCCAUUUGAAAAAGCCUGCUGCUGCCUUUUACAUUAUGUGAUUUUUUUUUAAAUGAAUGAAUAAUAACAUUCCAAAAAUAAUACUAUUACUAAUAGUGUUAGCAUACAUUACAGUUAAGAUGAGUUUAGUUAGAUUCUUGUUUCAUAAAAAAAGACUAAAUAAAAAGGACUGUGUUCUAAAACCUAAGAAAGGU